UCAGGACGAACGCUGGCGGCGUGCUUAACACAUGCAAGUCGAGCGAUGAAGCUCCUUCGGGAGUGAAUUAGCGGCGGACGGGUGAGUAACACGUGGGUAACCUGCCUCAUAGAGGGGAAUAGCCUUUCGAAAGGAAGAUUAAUACCGCAUAAGAUUGUAGUACCGCAUGGUACAGCAAUUAAAGGAGUAAUCCGCUAUGAGAUGGACCCGCGUCGCAUUAGCUAGUUGGUGAGGUAACGGCUCACCAAGGCGACGAUGCGUAGCCGACCUGAGAGGGUGAUCGGCCACAUUGGGACUGAGACACGGCCCAGACUCCUACGGGAGGCAGCAGUGGGGAAUAUUGCACAAUGGGGGGAAAAACCCCCUGAUGCAGCAACGCCGCGUGAGUGAUGACGGCCUUCGGGUUGUAAAACUCUGUCUUUGGGGACGAUAAUGACGGUACCCAAGGAGGAAGCCACGGCUAACUACGUGCCAGCCGCCGC
rnacentral:rRNA from 1 species